rnacentral:tRNA from 1 species
GGGGCUGCAGCUCAGUGGUAGAGUGCUUUCCUUGCAUGCAUGAGGCACUGGGUUCAAUCCUCAGCACCACA